rnacentral:lncRNA from 1 species
GCAUGUGGCCCUGUCAAUCAUCUCAGUAUGUUCCUCUGUUCUACACCAUUCUCUGAAUGGUGCAAGUGUGCAUGUGACCGUACAACAGAGACCAGCCCCCUCUCUCACUCAACUACCUCUCUAAUUCCCUCUGGUGGAUCCAGCGUCUGCACUUCCAAGUACUUGGUCCAAAGAUCUAAAGAUCUUGGAUCAUUGAACCCCAUAAGAAACUGCUCCUCUUGGGUGGAUACGAACACAUUUUUUAUAAACUGACUGUAUUUGUGUGAGGGAGCGACUGCAAGAUGGUAGCUUCACAUAGCUGGCUGUUGGGGCUUAUCGUAGCUCUGCUUUGCACUGGACCGUUCGGGGAUUCUGUGCAGGCUGAAGAAAGGCUGCAAAGUGAGGAAGCCGAGGUGCUGAGCGGUCUGGACCCUACUGGAGGUGAGAAAGAGGAGGUGGCUGAUGAGGAGGAGGUUGGAGAUAUAUCUGAAGAAGUAGAUGAAGACGUGGGAGGAGAUGGGGAAGCAGAGGGAGCUGAAGAUGAAGAUGAUGGAGAGGAAGCGGUGACACCAGAAGAGGAGAUAACUAAGGAGGCAGAAUCAACUGAGGCAGAAGCUGAGGAUGAGGCAGAAGAGGGAGCAGAUGAAGAGGAACCAGCAGAGGAAGAAGAAGAGGUAGAAGUAGCAGAAGAGGAGGAGGAGGAGGAGGAUGCAGAGAAAGAGGAGGUAGAAGUAGAGGAAGGAUUAGCAGAAGAAGAGGAUUCAGCACAACAGAUAACAGAGGAAGAAGAAACAGCCGCAGAGGAUGAGGGAGCACCAGGUGAGGAAGAGGAAGAGGCAGAUGAGGAGAAUGAAACUGCUGAUGAAGAUAAUGAGGAGGCUGGAGAUGAAGGUGCAGAUGAAGAGACCACAGAUACUGUUGAAGAAACUGCCAGUGAGGAAAAUGUAGAGGGACAAGAGUUGGUCUCCACGAAGGAUGUAAUGUAUAGCUCAGGCUCUUUCUGUGCACUUUGCUCAGUCUGUGAGCACUGCGGUACCUGUGACAAAUGUCCCUGUGAGGAAGGGGACACGUCAGCACACUGCAAUCACUGCGAAGUAGGUUUUCUUCUUCUUAAUAUGAUCAAAAUUCAUAUUAAUAAAGGCCAAAUGUAUGUGGACACCUGA